rnacentral:rRNA from 1 species
GAUGAACGCUAGCUACAGGCUUAACACAUGCAAGUCGAGGGGAAACGAUAUUGGAAGCUUGCUUCCGAUAGGCGUCGACCGGCGCACGGGUGAGUAACGCGUAUCCAACCUGCCCACCACUUGGGGAUAACCUUGCGAAAGUAAGACUAAUACCCAACGAUAUCUCUAGAAGACAUCUGAAGGAGAUUAAAGAUUUAUCGGUGAUGGAUGGGGAUGCGUCUGAUUAGCUUGUUGGCGGGGUAACGGCCCACCAAGGCGACGAUCAGUAGGGGUUCUGAGAGGAAGGUCACCCACAUUGGAACUGAGACACGGUCCAAACUCCUACGGGAGGCAGCAGUGAGGAAUAUUGGUCAAUGGACGAGAGUCUGAACCAGCCAAGUAGCGUGCAGGAUGACGGCCCUAUGGGUUGUAAACUGCUUUUAUAAGGGAAUAAAGUGAGCCUCGUGAGGCUUUUUGCAUGUACCUUAUGAAUAAGGACCGGCUAAUUCCGUGCCAGCCGCCGCGGUAA